rnacentral:rRNA from 1 species
UGAGGAAUAUUGGUCAAUGGUCGGGAGACUGAACCAGCCAAGCCGCGUGAGGGAUGAAGGUACAGAGUAUCGUAAACCUCUUUUGUCAGGGAACAAAAGGCGCCACGCGUGGCGCUCCGAGUGUACCUGAAGAAAAAGCAUCGGCUAACUCCGUGCCAGCAGCCGCGGUAAUACGGAGGAUGCGAGCGUUAUCCGGAUUUAUUGGGUUUAAAGGGUGCGUAGGCGGCGAGUUAAGUCAGCGGUAAAAGCCCGGGCUCAACCCGCCCGGCCCGUCGUAAACUGGCUUGCUUGAGUUGGAGAGAAGUAGGCGGAAUGCGCGGUGUAGCGGUGAAAUGCUUAGAUAUCGCGCAGAACUCCGAUUGCGAAGGCAGCCUACCGGCUCCAGACUGACGCUGAGGCACGAAAGCGUGGGUAUCGAACAGGAUUAGAUACC